UCUAGUAUGCACACUCUCUCAGAUAUAC
rnacentral:sRNA from 1 species